AGCGAGAGAGAGCUUGCUUUCUCGAGCGAGUGGCGAACGGGUGAGUAACGCGUGAGGAACCUGCCUCAAAGAGGGGGACAACAGUUGGAAACGACUGCUAAUACCGCAUAAGCCCACGACCCGGCAUCGGGUUGAGGGAAAAGGAGCAAUCCGCUUUGAGAUGGCCUCGCGUCCGAUUAGCUAGUUGGUGAGGUAACGGCCCACCAAGGCGACGAUCGGUAGCCGGACUGAGAGGUUGAACGGCCACAUUGGGACUGAGACACGGCCCAGACUCC
rnacentral:rRNA from 1 species